UACGUAGGGGGCAAGCGUUGUCCGGAUUUAUUGGGCGUAAAGAGCGUGUAGGCGGCUAUAUAGGUCCGUUGUGAAAACUCGAGGCUCAACCUCGAGACGCCGGUGGAAACCAUCUAGCUAGAGUCCGGAAGAGGAGAGUGGAAUUCCUGGUGUAGCGGUGAAAUGCGCAGAUAUCAGGAAGAACACCCGUGGCGAAGGCGGCUCUCUGGUACGUGACUGACGCUGAGACGCGAAAGCGUGGGGAGCGAACAGG
rnacentral:rRNA from 1 species